ensembl:lncRNA
GCACUCGGUCUGUGGUGGGACUGCGCAGCUCCCCGGGCGGUGGGCUCGGCCCCGAGCCGCUGGAGCUCGGGGGACACCGCUCGUACACGGGUGUGGGUUUGGGCGCUGCUGUGUGGCGGCGGGGUUUGGGCUCGGCGGGCCUUCCGUCUGGGCCGCCCUGUGGUUCUGAGGUGAGCACGGAUGGGGCUUGCUGGGUGGGAGCUGCUUGCCGGCGCUCAGCUUGCAGGUGCUAGCGUCCCAAGGGCGCUAAAACCACCUACCCCAUCCUCUCCCUGUAGUUCCAACUCCAGUAGUUUGCUCUUCAAGUGAUGUUUUGUCGAGUCUGAGUGGCUCUCUCACAGGGGCCGUAAGGACCUGGCACCCCCCAGUGCAGAACAGCUGCCCGCUCCCUGUUUAGCUGCAUAGGAGUUUUUUCCCCUCUUACUCUAAUCUUCCUGCAGGGAGAACAAGUGCUUAGGUUUCCUUAUUUUGAUGUGUUUGAAUUUUACAAUUAACUUCUUCCACCCUGGAGAGGUACUGGGCAUUUUUCAAGGCUAACGUGCAGUUGUAUGAGGGAUUGCCUGAAACCAGAACGUUCAACUGAACCUGGCUUUUCUCGUCAAUUAGUACUUCCCAAUAUGAUAAUUUCACCAAAAGUAAACGUUCUGUGAGCUGAAUUUCUUUACCAGAUGGUUUUGCCCACUGCUCUGACGAGUAGAGGUUAAGGAUUUUUCCACGCAUCUUAUUGAAGAUAAAAUGUAAGGGAGCUUAUACUUCAACACGUGAGUUCAAAUACUUAGGAAGGAUGGGAUAGAGCAAGCCAUUUUCACUUGACAACUAAUUCUUCAGUGCACUGUGCACUUCAAGGACCAGCAAGCCUUGUGGCCAGCAGUCCAGACUGCCAGCAUCAACCCUGCUGCCUGCAAUUGCAGCUGGGGCAGGAUGCUUUGGGCCAGUAAUGAAGAAAAAAUGAACAACCUGCAAGAAGGAAGGUUUUCUUUCCUAGCUGUGUGCAGGCAGACCCUAAAAAUAGAAGCAGAACUGUGGACCUGAUACGUGCAGCAGCCCAGUUUUCUCGCAACGUAACUGCAGCGGCGUUCCACCUAUCUCCCAGUUCAGGCAAAUAAGAAUCCUCAGCGUUUUCAGGUGAAAGAAGUCCCUUCUCCUGUAAAGAGCCAGCGCCCUUGGGGUAAGGACAGACGGACCAAGCCAGCAAGGAAGUGAUGCCCGUUGGCUCCGCUUGACCUUGAGCAGCCAUCCACUGGAAAACAGCAUUUCUGCUGCCCCCUGCUGCAGGGGUCCUGUGUCCAGGGGAAGGGUUACCCUUCAGACACUGCAGGUCAGCCGGAGCAAGCCGUUCGAAGGAAUACGAUGGGGUGAAGAGGGUGCACGUCUGCAGUGUAAAACCGUCUUGAGUCCACCUGCAGCUUCUGAAACGGGUAGAUGUGAAUUCCCUCUUCUCACAGAAGGGAAGGGGCAGCUCGGAGCAGGUAGGGCUUCAUGUUCCUCUCUCUCUCUCUCUCUCUCUUUUUUCCUGGAAAAUUUCCCUUAAGGAACCACCGGUGAUGACCCAUGAGACAGUGUGUGAAUGCUUUGCAUUGUGCAGUGCUUUGACAUUUGGCAUUCCUAUGGCGUUAUCCCCCAUCAACGCAGAAUAAGUUGUCAGAGCAUGAAAUUGGUAUUUUUACAUAUUCUUAACGUACAGAUGUCAUCUGAAAGCCUCGCACAGGCAUUAUGAUUAAACUCUCUGUUUCAUUCUCUGCCCGUGAACAG